rnacentral:rRNA from 1 species
UACGAAGGGGGCUAGCGUUGCUCGGAAUCACUGGGCGUAAAGCGCACGUAGGCGGAUUGCUAAGUCGGGGGUGAAAGCCCGAGGCUCAACCUCGGAACUGCCUUCGAUACUGCGGGUCUCGAGUCCGGGAGAGGUGAGUGGAAUUCCUAGUGUAGAGGUGAAAUUCGUAGAUAUUAGGAAGAACACCAGUGGCGAAGGCGGCUCACUGGCCCGGUACUGACGCUGAGGCGCGAAAGCGUGGGGAGCAAACAGG